rnacentral:rRNA from 1 species
AUGGAGAACAGGUCCCCGCUGUCGUCGAAGUCAAGCCCCAUGGACCCGCUCCGGCCCUCGCCCAGCGACGCGGACCGCACGAAGCACGGGUUGGCCGUGCGCCGCGCGUUGGCCGGCACGUACCGGAACUUGCUCUGCCCGAGGUUCACCAGCGCCAUCACGUCGAAGCUGGAGGCCAGCACCGGGUACAGCGGGCUGGAGAAGGCGUCGGCGUUGCAGCUCACCGCGUGGACGAGCUGUCCGUCCACCGUGAAGUACACCUUCCGCUUCGUCGGCUCGAAGCCGCAGCCCACGACCUUGUCCACCCCCGCCCACGCUGACUUCUCCGAUUCGUACGCCAGCUUCAUCCCUGAACAAUCAACGAACCUGUUCAGCUCACGUUUGCACGGCACGGAGCAGUAG